GAAUAUUGGACAAUGGGGGCAACCCUGAUCCAGCCAUGCCGCGUGUGUGAAGAAGGUNNNCGUAUNGUAAAGCACUUUAAGUUNGGCNGAAGGGCUUUAGGUUAAUACCCUGAAGUUUUGACGUUACCAACAUAAUAAGCACCGGCUAGCUACGUGCCAGCAGCCGCGGUAAUACGUAGGGUGCAAGCGUUAAUCGGAAUUACUGGGCGUAAAGCGCGCGUAGGUGGUUCAGUAAGAUGGGUGUGAAAUCCCCGGGCUUAACCUGGGAACUGCUUUCAUAACUGCUGAGCUAGAGUACGGUAGAGGGUAGUGGAAUUUCCUGUGUAGCGGUGAAAUGCGUAGAUAUAGGAAGGAACACCAGUGGCGAAGGCGACUACCUGGACUGAUACUGACACUGAGGUGCGAAAGCGUGGGGAGCAAACA
rnacentral:rRNA from 1 species